rnacentral:rRNA from 1 species
AUGCACGCUGGCGGCGUGCCUAAUACAUGCAAGUCGAGCGAACAGAUGAGGAGCUUGCUCCUCUGACGUUAGCGGCGGACGGGUGAGUAACACGUGGAUAACCUACCUAUAAAACUGGGAUAACCUCGGGAAACCGGAGCUAAUACCGGAUAAUAUAUUGAACCGCAUGGUUCAAUAGUGAAAGACGGUUUUGCUGUCACUUAUAGAUGGAUCCGCGCCGCAUUAGCUAGUUGGUAAGGUAACGGCUUACCAAGGCAACGAUGCGUAGCCGACCUGAGAGGGUGAUCGGCCACACUGGAACUGAGACACGGUCCAGACUCCUACGGGAGGCAGCAGUAGGGAAUCUUCCGCAAUGGGCGAAAGCCUGACGGAGCAACGCCGCGUGAGUGAUGAAGGUCUUCGGAUCGUAAAACUCUGUUAUUAGGGAAGAACAAAUGUGUAAGUAACUAUGCACGUCUUGACGGUACCUAAUCAGAAAGCCACGGCUAACUACGUG